rnacentral:rRNA from 1 species
UACAGAGGUCUCAAGCGUUGUUCGGAUUCAUUGGGCGUAAAGGGUGCGUAGGCGGCGCGGUAAGUCGGGGUGUGAAAUCUCGGAGCUUAACUCCGAAACUGCAUUCGAUACUGCCGUGCUUUGAGGACUGGAGAGGAGACUGGAAUUUACGGUGUAGCAGUGAAAAUGCGUAGAUAUCGUAAGGGAAGACCAGUGGCGAAGGCGAGUCUCUGGACAGUUCCUGACGCUGAGGCACGAAGGUCAGGGGGAGCAAAACGGGG